rnacentral:lncRNA from 1 species
UUUUUUUUUCUACACAAUGUACAAUUCCUUUUAAAUGGAUCAAGAAAUAGCUUAUAUACAUGAAUGAGUCCUUGUUAUAACAUCUCGGCAGCAAAUAUCAUAAGCUAAUGAAGACCUUGAUGGAGAGGAAGGGAGCCUAGGAUGAGUGGGAGGGGGCUGUGGAGAGAAGGGUUAGGCCUUCUAGAAAAAAGGGGAAAUGGGAAUGGUGGGGGGAAAGGAACAAAAGUAAAAUAUCAAGAAGCAUCUUUACAAAGCAGUUCUAUAGCUAAUUCCUUUUAAAGGGGAAAGGAAAGGUAACCAAGGCAGGAAAACAUUUAUCUCGGUGUCUUUAAAAAAGAAAUGUCUACCAUACAUAUAUCCCAAAAUGCAGGAGAAAUACUUAUUCAGCAAUGGAGGAGUUCAGAUGCUGUGGUCUAGUGACAAAAUAAAACUGACAAAUAAGGACUUCUGUCUCCUAAUUUUACCCCAGCCUUGCCACUAAUCCACCCAGUUCAGGUUGCUAUGGAGUAAGACACCAUCCAUGAAUGACUGCUUAUAGUGCCUCAAGGUCUGGAGGAAGCUAGAUUGUAUUGGUUGAAUCCCCACUCUAAUGACACCUCAGAGUCAAAGUCCAAUGGUAAAGGACCACUGAACUCAGGCUUCCCUCCUGUCCUUAGGGCAUGAAGGUUAGUGUCUAGAAGGGCCCACAGCCGGAGGAUGUGCUAAUUUUUCUUUAAAAAAAAAAAAAAAAAAAAAAAAAAAGGCCUGGAAGGACACAAGGCAAUAGGUGAUGUAAAAUGUAGAGGCUUGAAGAAAGGGGAACGGACAGGGCGGGACCUAAGGGAGGAGAUGGAAGCUAAUACUUCACCAUGAUUAAGAAAGAUUUCAUCCCUCUCGUUAAUUCCUGGGAAGAGGAUGAUGAUGGGAAAAGAGGAUGAGAAAUCAAAUCUCAGUGACUGAGCAAAGGGCCACAGAGCUACACUAGCAGUACAAGCAGCUUCUAUGUAAUUGACCCCAAAGGGAUAAAAAUGGGGAAGACCCUACCCUCUCCCCUAUGGCCUCAGCACCUAAACAGGCACUGAACUACAGGCUUCUCCUGCCACCACUCCCUUUCAUUUCUAUACAGCUUACUUCCAAACCCUAGUCAGAGUGGCCUGGCUCCCAGGGAGAGGACCUAGCUCAGGGCAAGGACAGGCCCCAGCUGGACGGUAUUGCACAUUCUCUGUUCCUUUUAAUCUCAACUGAAAAACUUGGGCACCGUGUACCUCUGAGCACCUCUGAGUUGGGGGUCAGGGAGACUUAACAGAAAUGGCACUUCAUCAUGGGGUAGGGAGAAGUUAGACAGACAUGCCACAAGGCAAGAUGACUGGUAAAAACAUUUAAAAAAAAAAAUGGAAGAAAAAAACCUUCCAAUUUUGUGGAAGAGAAAAACAGAAUCAAUUUAUUCAGUGCUUUCAAAGCACAGAGGGCAAGGAAAAGAUGUAAGAAUAUAUCUUUUUAUAUAUAUAUAUAUAUAAUUUUAAAAUAAUCCCAAACCCAGCUCCAUUAGUCCCCCCCUCCCUCCCCCACCACUUACAGUCAGGGGCACCACAUUCCCCAGAAAAAUACUUGAAAUGACCUGCUUAAACUACUUGUUACUAGCAUCUAGCUUCCAGGUCAUUUCACCACUUGGGAGCCUGGACACGGCUGCAUCUCUGCUCCUUUAUUAAGUGCUCAAUGAAUCUGAGGGAAAGGGAAGAAGAAAAAGCCAGGAAGGCCCGUAGGGCCAGUAUAAUCACCCACAGUGGCACUGGGAAAGAAGAGACCAGAGUGGGGGAUUGAGCUUGAUCCAGCUUCUUUUCCCACCCUACCCCCAGAUUUUAUGGGAAAGGUGUAUAAUUCGUGUGUGUGUACAAUUUUAAAAGUGCCUUCUUACUUUAAAAAAAUUAUUUAGUUUUUAAAAAUAAAAACGAGGGAAUUUCCUCAGGUGGCUAUCAAGGGCAAAGUAUUAUAAACUCCUCAUGCAUCUUUGCUCAAAGCGUCCCGAGUCCACCCUGACGGCUUCUAGAGCUGUAGCGGCUGUACAUGUACACUCUGAGGAGAGUUGGAAACCUUCGCCUUCAGGCUUCCCUAACCUCCCUCAACAACAGCUUGGUCCCCCCUCCUUGCCACAGUGUGGGCACAAGAAUGCUAACCUCCCUAACCUCAGAGCAGCGACAUUGCACAAUUCAAUUUACUCUUUACAUUAAGAGUGCCAAAAAAAAAAAAAAAAAAAA